rnacentral:rRNA from 1 species
GACGAACGCUGGCGGCGUGCUUAACACAUGCAAGUCGAACGGUGAAGCGCUUUCCUUUUUGGUUGGUGUGGAUGAGUGGCGAACGGGUGAGUAACACGUGAGUAACCUGCCCCCUUCUUCUGGAUAACCGCAUGAAAGUGUGGCUAAUACGGGAUAUUCUGCGCCUGCUGCAUGGUGGGUGUGGGAAAGAUUGUGCCUUUGGGUGUUUUCGGUGGGGGACGGGCUCGCGGCCUAUCAGCUUGUUGGUGGGGUGAUGGCCUACCAAGGCGGUGACGGGUAGCCGGCCUGAGAGGGUGGACGGUCACACUGGGACUGAGACACGGCCCAGACUCCUACGGGAGGCAGCAGUGGGGAAUAUUGCACAAUGGGCGCAAGCCUGAUGCAGCGACGCCGCGUGAGGGAGGGAGGCCUUCGGGUUGUGAACCUCUUUCGCCAGUGAAGCAGGCCUGCUCCUUGUGGGUGGGUUGACGGUAGCUGGAUAAGAAGCGCCGGCUAACUACGUG